rnacentral:sRNA from 1 species
AGAAAAACCUUAUGGAUUUAGAACAUGGUUCAAGAAUUUUCCAUAUGGUUUCAAUUGUGGUUUACGGGAUGAUUAGUUGAGAUUGUAGCGGUAAAUUGUGGCUUAAAAUAUUGAUGUUAUAUAU